AGUGGCGAACGGGUGAGUAACACGUGAGCAACCUGCCCCUGACUCUGGGAUAAGCGCUGGAAACGGCGUCUAAUACUGGAUAUGUGACGUGACCGCAUGGUCUGCGUUUGGAAAGAUUUUUCGGUUGGGGAUGGGCUCGCGGCCUAUCAGCUUGUUGGUGAGGUAAUGGCUCACCAAGGCGUCGACGGGUAGCCGGCCUGAGAGGGUGACCGGCCACACUGGGACUGAGACACGGCCCAGACUCCUACGGGAGGCAGCAGUGGGGAAUAUUGCACAAUGGGCGCAAGCCUGAUGCAGCAACGCCGCGUGAGGGAUGACGGCCUUCGGGUUGUAAACCUCUUUUAGCAGGGAAGAAGCGAAAGUGACGGUACCUGCAGAAAAAGCGCCGGCUAACUACGUGCCAGCAGCCGCGGUAAUACGUAGGGCGCAAGCGUUAUCCGGAAUUAUUGGGCGUAAAGAGCUCGUAGGCGGUUUGUCGCGUCUGCUGUGAAAUCCCGAGGCUCAACCUCGGGCCUGCAGUGGGUACGGGCAGACUAGAGUGCGGUAGGGGAGAUUGGAAUUCCUGGUGUAGCGGUGGAAUGCGCAGAUAUCAGGAGGAACACCGAUGGCGAAGGCAGAUCUCUGGGCCGUAACUGACGCUG
rnacentral:rRNA from 1 species